rnacentral:rRNA from 1 species
CCUACGGGUGGCUGCAGUGGGGAAUAUUGGACAAUGGGGGCAACCCUGAUCCAGCCAUGCCGCGUGUGUGAAGAAGGCCCUCGGGUUGUAAAGCACUUUCAGUGAGGAAGAACGCCUGGUGGUUAAUACCCAUCAGGAAAGACAUCACUCACAGAAGAAGCACCGGCUAACUCCGUGCCAGCAGCCGCGGUAAUACGGAGGGUGCGAGCGUUAAUCGGAAUUACUGGGCGUAAAGCGCGCGUAGGUGGCUUGAUAAGCCGGUUGUGAAAGCCCCGGGCUCAACCUGGGAACGGCCUCCGGAACUGUCAAGCUAGAGCGCAGAAGAGGAAGGUAGAAUUCCCGGUGUAGCGGUGAAAUGCGUAGAGAUCGGGAGGAAUACCAGUGGCGAAGGCGGCCUUCUGGACUGACACUGACACUGAGGUGCGAAAGCGUGGGUAGCAAACAGGAUUAGAUACCCUAGUAGUC